rnacentral:lncRNA from 1 species
GGUUGUCUAAUGGGUCUUGUGACCCAACUUUGAACCAGGCUAAGGCUCUGAGAGGGGCCAAGAUCCAUUAGUUUAAGCAAACAUAGGGUAUAAGGAACUGCAGCAGGAUCCUGAGUCACAAAGGCACAAUGCCAGCUGGGAAUCCAAUGGAGUUGGUGGUCUAACCUCAAGGAUGCUAGGUGGCCAGCACCCACGGAUGUGAACUUGGACAUUCUCGCCCUGGGACUUUGAUUCAAAGCUGACAAAUGUCUGUCCACAUUCUACCUCCUCCUACCCUUGUAGCAGUGUGGUUAGGCUGGGGUGCCCUGGUUUGUGAGUCACCCCCUUGCCUCCCCAUCCCCCAGAGAGGAGCUGACCAAGUAACUUUUGAGGUAGGGCCCUGUUGGAAGACAUGUUGGGGGUGUGACUCCUCCCUGAGAGACGAUGAUCUCUUGCUAUCAGAGACCAGGGAGCUCUGGAUGUCAAGUGCCUGCACCAAGAGUGCACAAUAAAGGGGUUUCCCUCUUGCUCUUGUU